rnacentral:lncRNA from 1 species
AGAAAGAUGCUGAGGGAAGAGGAAGAUGAAUACGGUUGGACUAUGAUGUACAGGAAAAUCAAGAACUCUGAUAGCUUUCUCAAGGAAGUUUCUCUGCACGACGUUAGACUGGACCCAAACACCUUCCACUGGAGAGCUCAGCAGACAAAUCUCGAGUAUCUGUUGAUGUUGGAUGUUGAUAGUUUGGCCUGGAGCUUCCGUAAAGCAGCUGGCCUUGAUGCUCCAGGAAGUUACUAUGGAGGAUGGGAGAGACCAGAUAGUGAACUCCGUGGCCAUUUUGUCGGUAUAGAGCUGCAUCCUUUCCUCAAUUCAGAUUCAGUUUCUUAGUCUUAAGUUGUUCAUAGUAUGCAAGAAAAUAGGUUUAUAGAUUUGAUGUCUGAUUUUUUUUUUUACAAGGUCACUAUCUGAGUGCAACAGCGUACAUGUGGGCAAGUACUCAUAACAAUACUCUCAAGGAGAAGAUGUCAGCUCUUGUCUCAGCUUUAUCUGCUUGCCAACAGAAACUUGGCACUGGUUAUCUUUCUGCUUUCCCUUCAAGCUUUUUCGACCGGUUUGAAGCUAUAACUCCUGUCUGGGCUCCAUACUACACCAUUCACAAGGUGAAUACUCAUAACCUCUGAUAUAGAUUGUAGAUUAGACCAGAGGUCAAUAGUUCAACUGGAAAUGACCCUUGGCCAUUAUGUUAGAGGUCCCCAGUUCGAGUGACUGAUAGGACGAAACUAAUAUUACAUGUUUAUUCAAAAAGAAAAAAAGUUGUAGAUUAGUAUGUUUGUGUUUUAUAUUGACAGGUUACAACUCUAUGUCUUAAUAGAUUUUAGCUGGUCUAGUGGAUCAAUACAAGUUAGCUGGGAACACUCAAGCUCUGAAAAUGGCAACAUGGAUGGGUGAUUACUUCUAUGGCCGUGUACGUAAUGUGAUAAAGACUUACAGUGUCGAAAGACACUGGCAAUCACUAAACGAGGAGACUGGUGGCAUGAAUGAUGUUCUCUAUCAGAUAUACAGCAUUACUGUGAGUUCAAAAAUCUUAUAAGACUCUUAGAUUUCUACGUAGCUUUGUGUUCAUAUCAUAGCUUUAAUUGGACUCUGCAGGGAGAUUCCAAGUAUUUGCUGCUUGCACAUCUCUUUGACAAGCCUUGCUUUCUUGGAGUGCUUGCAGUUCAGGUAGGUUGUUUAACUUGAUGGUUCGCUUGAAUAAGUAUGUGAAUGGUAACAUAACAGAGUUUCUUUUCAGGCUGAUGAUAUAAGUGGAUUCCACUCUAACACACAUAUUCCCAUUGUGGUUGGAUCUCAACUCCGUUAUGAGAUCACUGGUGAUCCACUCCAUAAGGUAUUGAAACAUGAUCAAGAAAAGUGUGAGAUUAAAUGAAGUAAAAAUUGGUUUUUUCUUGAUUCUGUAAUCUUCUUUUUCAGGAAAUAUCAAUGUUUUUUAUGGAUAUAGUCAAUGCUUCUCACAGCUAUGCAACUGGUGGAACAUCAGUGAAUGAGUUCUGGUACUACUAACAUUACCUAACUUUAGAGUUUGGUUCAUUUUAACCAUGAUCUUAACUAUAAUCUUGAAAUGUUGUUUCCAGGCAAGAUCCAAAGAGAAUGGCCACUACUUUGCAAACUGAAAAUGAGGAAUCAUGUACUACUUAUAACAUGCUCAAGGUAUGAAUUCAACACUUUUUCUAUUUUUAUAUAGCUCAAGGUGGUAACAUAUCAAUUUCAGGUGUCUAGGAAUCUGUUUAGGUGGACAAAAGAAGUUAGUUAUGCAGACUAUUAUGAACGUGCUUUGACUAACGGUGUGCUUGGGAUUCAAAGAGGAACUGAGCCUGGACUAAUGAUCUACAUGCUCCCAUUGGGUAAAGGUGUUUCUAAGGCUGUGACUUAUCACGGUUGGGGAACACCCUAUGAUUCCUUCUGGUGUUGCUAUGGCACUGGUAAGUGGUAACGCUGGUUUGCUACAUUGUUUUUACUUAGAAAAACAAAUAGAAGCUUGAGAUUUUUGUUUGUCUCUAUUCACAGGAGUUGAAUCCUUUUCAAAAUUGGGAGACUCUAUAUAUUUUCAAGAAGAUGGGGAAUCUCCAUCUCUUUAUGUCGCACAGUAUAUAUCAAGCUCACUUGAUUGGAAAUCUGCUGGUCUUACACUAUCUCAGAAAGUUAAACCUGUUGUGUCUUGGGAUCCAUAUAUGCGUGUGACAUUUUCUUUCUCUUCUUCCAAGGGGGUAAGCUUUUGAAAACCAGAUGCAACUUGUUUUAUGUAAAUAGAGAUUCUAAUGGACCUGAUUUUCUUGCAGGGAAUGGGGAAGGAGUUCACUUUGAAUCUAAGAAUACCUGUUUGGACAAACUCUGAAAGUGCUAAAGUAUCUUUCAAUGGACAGCCUCUGAAAGUACCAGCUUCAGGUGAUUUGAGCAUUAUGUAUUGUUAACUUCUUUAUCUAUCACCAAAAGGUUAAUAGAAACGGGUUUUAGAUGCUAAAAGCGGAAACUGCUAGACUCCAGUUCCACUAUGUAAAAAUGAGAGAUCAUAUUGGACCUGACUUUUGCUUUGCAGGUAACUUUUUACCAAUCAAACAGAACUGGAAAUCCGGAGAUCAAGUAACCAUGGAGCUACCGUUGAGUAUCAGAACCGAAGCUAUAAAAGGUAUAGUAACUAUACUUCUAACUUAAAACCAAUUGGCUAUAAAUGAAUUAGCUGAAAUACCGUAUAUAUUUUCUAAGUCGCAUUUUAAGUUUCCGACGUGGGAUUUUUUCUCCAACAUGAAUCUUUUGAAAUCACUGUCCUCACUCUGCCAAAUUAAGUAUAGCAUAGGAUACUAGCAAUAAUGUAUCAUAGUGUAUAAAAAUUGCAUACAACUCUGUUCUGACGACAGAAACUAAUUUCACUAUUUUUCCUUUUAUGGUGACUAUUUCAGAUGAUAGGCCUGAAUACUCAUCACUUCAGGCCAUACUUUAUGGUCCCUAUUUGUUAGCUGGACUCACAAGCAGGGACUGGAGCAUCACAACUCAACCUAAAGAUGGGAAAUGGAUAAGCUCUAUACCUGAAACUCAUAAUAGUCACCUUGUCACACUCUCACAACAAUCUGGUAACAUAUCAUACGUGUUGUCAAAUAACAACCAAACCAUCACCAUGGAAGUAUCACCCGCUCCAGGGACAGAAAGAGCUGUUGCCGCAACUUUCAGGCUUGUGACCGCUGAUUCUAAAGGGAAGGUUUCGAUUCCAGAGGAGCUAAUCGGAAGCCUGGUUAAGGUAGAACCGUUUGAUUUCCCUGGAAUGCUUGUGUCGCAAGCAACUGAUAGCUCCCUUGCGGUUCAAGAUUCUACUUCUAUUGAAGCCUCGAGCUUCCGGUUAGUAGCUGGAGUUGAUGGGAAGGAAGGAAGUGUUUCAUUAAGGCUAGAGAGUAAGAAGGGCUGUUUUGUGUAUAGCGAUGAAACCCUAAAGGCGGGAAUGAAACUGAAGCUCAAGUGUGAUUCGGAUGCGAGUGAUGACAAGUUUAAACAGGGAGCAAGCUUUAGGUUAAGGAAGGGAAUGAGUCAAUACAAUCCUAUGAGUUUCGUGAUGAGUGGAACACAGAGGAACUUUGUGUUAUCACCAUUGUUCAGCUUAAGAGAUGAAACAUACAAUGUCUACUUCAGUGUACAAACUUGAAGAAAAAAAUAUUCAACAAAAAGAAACUCCUUAAGUACAUUGGGAGGAAAAUAAGAAAAAGUCUUAUGAAAUAGCUAUAAGGGUUGUGUUUAGUUGUUAGCAUGUUAGGUGGUUUGUGUUAUGCAAUUUGAUCUACAAAUGUAUGUUGCAAGUUAUUAAUAAAAAUAGACAAAAGGUUUUAUUAAUUAGCAUGGUAAUUUAUUGCACAUCUUUGUUUUAUGGUUCAUGAAUGUGAAAAUAUUCUUAAAAGAGAGCAGUGUAGGCUGCAGAAAGCAUAGUCCCGUGCAAUGAAAUAAGCCGUAGACAAGAAAACAAACAAGUGCUCUACAACAUUGAUUCCAUUCAAUCAAUACGCUCAACAUUAAAAGAAAUAAACUAAUAAGUGAAAAAGAAAAACAAACUUGGAAAGGCGUGAAAAUGGAAGUUCAAAUUGAAAAUUAAGAAAAAAGAAUGGUGAAUAAAAUAAGAGAAGAGGUCAAAAGGAGUAGGUCCACAAAAAGCAGCAAGAUCUUAGCACUCACAUGUCCCCAUAUAUUCUAUUUUCUAUUGUACACUCUCUUCUUCAUUCAGCUCACUCUCACUCUGCUUCUCCAUCUCAGUUUCAAUAUCUUUUUUUCUUCUAAACUUUCCAUUCAAGAAGGGGAAAUUAUGCAUUUCUGAAUUAAUCUCUCCGUUUUUUUUUUUUUUUUCAACAAUGGACUGAGUGGACCUUCCAAAGCGGAGAGAGUUGAAGGUAGAGUAGGUAACGGCGGCUGAAGCGGCUGGAGCAGCUGGAUAAGUCAUUUUCGUGACGGAUGUGAGAAAGUAAAGCGAUCGGAAAACUGAGAAAGAAAAGUUUGAGACAAGAUGGAGCUUUUACCUCGAGAGAUUCUAUAUAUAUGAGAGCUCUGAAGGCGUUAGAGGAGAAACUAAGCGUUUGGUAGGCGCAAAACGUGCGUAGAGCCUUAAAGAUCGACCAUAAUAACUGAUUGCCGAAAGGGGAAUCACAAGCGACGAAGGAGAUGGUGAAGAUGGCGGCUUCGCUAAUCUUCUUAGCUUUGUCCGUAUCACCACUUUGGGCAGAUACAAAUCCUAAUAAACAGAAAAUCAAUAAGCUCAAAGCCCACUUUUUGUCGAAGUCCAUUCGUUACCCAUCAAUUAAAAAAAAAAAGUAGGGUCCACAAUGUUAUAUUAGUUUUGAUCUUUAUAAUAUAUAUUAGUUUCGACCAUCAAUGUACAAAGUAUCCUUUAGUGUAAUGGUAUAGUUGUGGGUGUUUGUAUCUCAAUAACCUGGGUUCGAGUCACAUAUUUGACAUUUUUUCACACUUUUAAAAAGUAGAACCCACAGAUCGCUGACGUGUCGCAUCAGGAGGAGAGAAACUCUCCUAUUAUAUAAUAGAUUUUUAUUUUAAAACAAGAAAAGCUUUAAGUCACACAACAAAUAAAGUGUAGCAAAAAAAAUCGGCAUCGUUGGGAUCCAUAGUAUCGGUCGCUAAAGAUUCUUCGGUUAAAUUAAAAAAGAAAAAUAACUUGUGGCAAAAAGAAAAAAAAAAUCCAUUAAUACUACUGUUAGAAAGAGUCACAUGUCACCCUAUUCCAGUUACUUAAAUACUCUUGUUAUGUAAAUCCAGCUGUCAAACAAAUUAGUAUAUUAAUUUGUGAACCUAGUAUGUUAGUUUUCUUCAAAAUUAAACAGUGUUAAAUAAGUUUGAAUAAUACAUCUCUACAGAAUAUUAUAUUUAAAAGCUUUAGAAUCUUAAUUAUUUUUUCAGACAGUUAAACACAACAAAAGCAUACAUUUUCAAGUCAACAUUUAUUAAUAGUAUACAGUUUUUAAAAUAUAUUUAUUAAUUAUAAACAGUUUUGGACAUGGUGUUCCUUUUGUUUAGUGGUCCAUUAUUCUUCAACAUCUCGAGAAAAACCAGAAACAUCCCACUGAUCUCUCAUCGAAACAGAAACAGUUCUUGCCUUUUACAGAGUCAAAAUACAAACACACAAGGCAACGUAAGCGACAAAGCAUCCGUGACCUCCUCGUCGAUUCUUUUUAUUUGUUUUUUUUUCUCGGAAUUGUUAUCCUCAUUACCCUCUUUUUUCUCCUUCACGUGAUCAUAUUACAUCUUUUGUUCUGUUUUCUUUUGUGGCAGACAUUGCUUAAAUCUUCAAAACUCUCUUUGCUUUCUUACACUUUAUAUAUAUCCACUCUCAUUACUCUCUUCUUCCAACUCUCUCUAACUGUUAAUGUGUGUUUGAGUCUUUUCUUUCUCAUUCUUGGAAUCUGAAUUUGUGAUUCUUGGUUUUUUAAGACAAAAGAGAUGAAGUCUUGUCUCAUCAUAACCUUUGCUUUAUUAUUACUAUACAUAAUCUCUGUUCUUUGUUUAGCAAAAGAGUGCACAAACACUCCUUCACAGCUCUCCUCACACACAUUCCGCAAUGCGCUUCUCCAAUCAAAGAACGAAUCUCUGAAGACAGAGAUGUUCUCUCAUUACCAUCUAACACCAACUGACGACACAGCUUGGUCUAGUUUGCUGCCAAGAAAGAUGCUGAGGGAAGAGGAAGAUGAAUACGGUUGGACUAUGAUGUACAGGAAAAUCAAGAACUCUGAUAGCUUUCUCAAGGAAGUUUCUCUGCACGACGUUAGACUGGACCCAAACACCUUCCACUGGAGAGCUCAGCAGACAAAUCUCGAGUAUCUGUUGAUGUUGGAUGUUGAUAGUUUGGCCUGGAGCUUCCGUAAAGCAGCUGGCCUUGAUGCUCCAGGAAGUUACUAUGGAGGAUGGG